GAUGAACGCUGGCGGCGUGCUUAACACAUGCAAGUCGGGCGGACGGUCGUGUUUCCUGUUUCUGACGGGUUAGUAACGCGUAGGAACCUGCCCUGUGGAGGGCCACAAUAACUGGAAAGGAUUACUAAUAGACCGUAGGCUUAGGAGCAAAUGAAAUAAUGCGCCCGAGGGUGGGCUUGGGUAUGAUUGUCUAGCUGGUGAUUUAAUAGCCUACCAAGGCGCUGAUCCGUAUAUGGUCCGAGAGGAUGAUCAGCCACACUGCGACGGAGACACGGCGCAGACUACUACGGGAGACAGCCGUGGGGAAUUUGCAGCAAUGCGCGAUAGCCUGACGGAGCCAUGCGGCGUGGAGGUAGAAGGCCCAGGGAUCGUGAAAUUCUUUUCUAGGAGAAGAAACAAUGACGGUACCUGAGGAAUAAGCAUCGGCUAACUCCGUG
rnacentral:rRNA from 1 species